rnacentral:tRNA from 1 species
GCCCUGCGAAAGCAGCGGGGAUAGAGCCCCGCUCUCCUAAAGCGGGUGUCGCAGGUUCGAAUCCUGCCGGGCCACAA